rnacentral:rRNA from 1 species
UACGUAGGGGGGCUAGCGUUGUCCGGAAUCAUUGGGCGUAAAGCGCGUGUAGGCGGCCCGGUAAGUCCGCUGUGAAAGUCGGGGGCUCAACCCUCGAAUGCCGGUGGAUACUGUCGGGCUAGAGUGCGGAAGAGGCGAGUGGAAUUCCUGGUGUAGCGGUGGAAUGCGCAGAUAUCAGGAGGAACACCGAUGGCGAAGGCAGCUCGCUGGGACGGUACUGACGCUAAGGCGCGAAAGCGUGGGGAGCAAACAGG